rnacentral:rRNA from 1 species
GAUGAACGCUGGCGGCGUGCCUAAUACAUGCAAGUCGAGCGAACGGACGAGAAGCUUGCUUCUCUGAUGUUAGCGGCGGACGGGUGCGUAACACGUGGUUAAACUACCUCUACGACUGGGAUAACUUCGGGAAACCGGAGCUACUACCGGAUAAUUUUUUGAACCGCAUUGUUCAAACGUGAAAUACGGUCUUGCUGUCACUUAUAGAUUGAUCAGCGCUGCAUGCAUUAGUUGGCAAAGUAAUGGGUUACCAAGGCUACGAGGCAUAACCGACCCGAGGGGGUGAACGGCCACACUGGAACUGAGACACGGUCCAGACUCCGAGGGUAGGCCGCGGUAGGGAAUCUUACGGGAGGGGGGAGAGCCUGACGGAGCAACGCGGCGGGAGUGAUGAAGGUGUUCGGAUCGUAAAACUAUGUUAGUAGGGAAGAAGAUAUGUGUAAGUAACUGGGCACAUCUUGACGGUACCUAAUCAGAAAGCCACGGCUAACUACGUG